AUGGUGGGAGUUUAUCUCUUUUCUCCCUUUUGCCUUGCAUCAUGUGAAGACACAGCAUUUAUCCUGUCCAUAGGGCACAGACUUCAAGAUGUCAUCUUGGAAGCAGAGACUGGACCUUCACCAGACUCAAAACCUACCAGUACCUUGAUCCUAAACGUCUUUCCCGGCUCCAGAACUGUGAGAAAGCUUCCAAGUCUGUCACCUCUUUGGCUUCACAUCUGGAUUCAUCAUGGUGACCUGUCCAGGUCCCUUUUAAGGUUCCAAGUACAGAACUUAACACAAUCACAAUGAACAUAGGAACAUGGGGCUGGCACGGACAGAAGAGUUAUACUUGCUUGGGUAAGACUAGCUCAGCUUUUCUAGUGUCUGCAUCCAGCUGUUGAUAGGUUUGUAAUUAAGAAAAAUUUCUCAGUCCUUCUUCAUGUGAAUGACUCUUGAAUUCCUUUUCUCCAGUCCUGUUCCCAAGGAGUUGAUUUUUAAAACUUAGAUGGAAGCCUGCACAUUCUUCCUUGGUAGUCUCAGUAUUGCUAAUCAUUGGUCAAUGUCUUCAGUUUAGUAUUUGUUGCUUAUCCUGUUCGCCACCUCUCUGGAUUCAUUUCAGGAAGACUCCUGAGAAGAUUGCUUGCUGUAAUUCACUCUGCUUGCUGGACCCUGGGUCCCGAGGCCCCAGGAGUAGUGCUUGGGCAGGACAGGCUCUAAGUAAGUAAUUGAAAGAAUGAAUGUAUCAAUGGGUAGAUGAAGUAGAGCCUUUGCAGCCCACCCCAACACUCCGUGGGGGUGGUCAACACAUUCAGACAUAAAUCUGCUUUCUGCAUCCUUGGACUAUGUGCCAUCCCAUAGUUCUCUAUCUCAUUUUCAUACCAUGAACUAUUUUGUUAAAUCGCUUACAAAAAUUAGGAUAUGUUUUAUCCAAGAAUAAAAUAAGACUAUUUUUUCUUUUUUUAGCUAAC
rnacentral:lncRNA from 13 species